rfam:Clostridium perfringens str. 13 DNA, complete genome.
AGAUAUUGCUAGGGGUGCUGUAAAAGGCUGAGAGGGAUAAUAAGUCCUAACUCUAAUAACCUGAUUUGGUUAAUACCAGCGUAGGGAAGUAUAUUUUAAGUUGU